UACGUAGGGUGCAAGCGUUAAUCGGAAUUACUGGGCGUAAAGGGUGCGUAGGCGGUUUGGUAAGUCUGAUGUGAAAUCUAUGGGCUCAACUCAUAGUCUGCAUCGGAAACUGCCGGGCUUGAGUGUGGGAGAGGUGAGUGGAAUUCCUGGUGUAGCGGUGAAAUGCGUAGAUAUCAGGAGGAACACCUGUGGCGAAAGCGGCUCACUGGACCAUACUGACGCUGAUGCACGAAAAGCUAGGGGGAGCAAACAGG
rnacentral:rRNA from 1 species